GUUUUCUAUAGUGCUAACUCUGCAAUUAUUUUUCUUCAAGAAUUUAACACUUUUAUUCCUUGCUAAAUUGGACGUAUUGAUUGAUUCUUUUAAACUUGAUUUGUUCACUAACAUGUGGAAUUGCCGGAACAGAGCUGAGCUCACUAAGUGAUUUCUUAUAGUUUUGCGUUGAAAGUGGUCUGUUUUCACCUAAUCACAUCCAGCAUUAAGGAAACAAAAAUUAUUUUUUGGAAACAAUCUUCUCUAAUUAAGACAGAUGCCAGAACACAUGGAGCAAACAACAACAUUUAGCAAUGAGAGUUUUCACUCAAUUAACUGAUAGGACAUGUUAGCUAGUUAGGUUGCUCUGUUGCAGUAAAAGUUAGGUCUUUUGUUGCUUUGUCAAGUGAAUUUGGCGUCAAGACACACUAUGACAGAUUUUGAUUUUACUAUAAAUCCAGGCGAGAAGAAGUGCGUGAAUGUAUUUAGUCUUGCAGAAAGUUAGGGAGGACCUGACUAUGGAAUUGAGGCCUCGUUGAAGUCAUCAUAAGAUGAUUCAUCGAGUGUUAAUCCAUGAACUGCAUUGGUGGCAGCCAGGAGAUUCUACCACCAGUAACUUCAUCAGAAAGUGGAAAAUCCUGAGCUGAUUAGAGGAAUAAUAGAGAGACUAUCCUCUGCAGUUUGAAACAAGAGGAAAACAAGAGGUGGUUGGUCUUGGUUGGAGGCAUUCUGAUUUGGUUCAAGCAGGUUAACCGGAAUAUAAUUCCGGUUGUACUGCUCUGACUGGUGAGAAG